UACGGAGGGGGCUAGCGUUGUUCGGAAUUACUGGGCGUAAAGCGCACGUAGGCGGAUUUGUAAGUUAGAGGUGAAAGCCCAGGGCUUAACCCUGGAAUUGCCUUUAAGACUGCAUCGCUAGAAUCGUGGAGAGGUGAGUGGAAUUCCGAGUGUAGAGGUGAAAUUCGUAGAUAUUCGGAAGAACACCAGUGGCGAAGGCGACUCACUGGACACGUAUUGACGCUGAGGUGCGAAAGCGUGGGGAGCAAACAGG
rnacentral:rRNA from 1 species